rnacentral:rRNA from 1 species
UACAGAGGGUGCUAGCGUUGUUCGGAAUUACUGGGCGUAAAGGGCGUGUAGGCGGUUGUAUAAGUCAGAUGUUAAAGACCCGGGCUUAACCUGGGGGGUGCGUUUGAUACUGUAUGACUAGAGUGCAGAAGAGGAGAGUGGAAUUCCCGGUGUAGAGGUGAAAUUCGUAGAUAUCGGGAGGAACACCAGUGGCGAAGGCGGCUCUCUGGACUGCUACUGACGCUGAGGCGCGAAAGCGUGGGGAG